ensembl:lncRNA
UUUGAGUAUUCCUUAUGCUGUUUCCUCCUACUCUGUUUCCUCUCUCCAGCCCUGAUGUCAGAUUGUUUCCCUCCAAGUACUGGUCUGAGGAUCCCCUACGGGCAGAUCUUUACAGUGAUUGCUUUUUUCCUGAUUGCUGCUGCUGUUUUCAGGUUUGUGAAGGAAGUGGCUAUGUUAGACUAGCAAUUGCAGAGCUGGACUGGUGACCACUGUAGAUGUAGAGCCCCCACAUGAUGCAAGUUCCUCCUUAGAAGAAAGAGCUAGAAUCAAAUGGAAGGUGAUUGUGUAGAUCCAUUGAGCUUUGUAGUAAUACACUGCACCUAUCUCCACUAAUUUUCUUCAGUAACUAUCUGCCUGAUACUGUUAUUUCAAAAAAGCCCCCUGAGGUGGUUCUGCACACCCUGCUCUGGGUGACCCUGCUGGAGCAGUGUGACAAGCUGCUCUACACUCCAUGUGUGAUCAAGGAACUCUGCAGGAAGCAGGCAACUCUGGAAAGAGAGUCGUUCCCCUGUCUCCAUGAGAACUCCCCUUUCUGUGUAAUUUGUCAUUUGAAGAAGUAAUUCAGGUUCACCCUGCUAAGAACGAUGCGUGCCCUUCUGCCUGAGACAAGAGCAGGCAGUUUCUGUCUGUCAGAGCAGUAGGCAUCCCCAUGCUGCAUGGCUCCAGCAGCUGAGGCCAGCAGCAGCAGCAGGGCAAUGCGAAGAACUCAAGCUGCUGCAUCAGUUUAACGCGUUGCUGUCUGCAAGGCUUGAUGCGGGGCAGCGAGGAGGAGAGAGGGUAAGACAAAGAUUGUGUUUAAAUAACCACUUAGGCCGGUUGGCAAUAAGCAGGUUCUUUUUUUCUCUGAUGGUUUAUACCCACUGUGUUUCUGUUCGACCCAGCCUUUUCCUGAGCUGAAGCCAAGGGAUUUUUCCAUGUCCCCAAGGAGUGUGUUAGAAAAGCAGUGUUUAUGUUAGGGGACCUCAUUAACAUUACGAGUAAGUUGUAGUACCCAGAGACUAUCACAGGCUCAGCAGAAUGGAGCAAACGAGUCCUUGUUCCUUUGCGUCAUUGGCCCAAGCAGCCACCAGGCUGAAACCCAACCCUGGCUGCUUGCCUUCAGGGGAAAAAAUAAGAAGGGUAAAGUAAACAAGGCCCCUGUUCAGCUUUCCUGGACCUCGAUGGGAAUUGCUUGCAAUUAUACAUCAAAACUAUGAGCUGGCUCUGAACAGGCACAGCUCUGCUCCGCUGAGGCUGCAACCUUGUGCAGAAACCUCCUGCCUGCAGCCACUCCGGCUGGCCUCUACGUCCUGGACCACAGAGCCAGGAAACUAUUAAGUAUGUGCUUAAACCUGCUGCUCCUCAGGACAGCGCUGAUUUGACACCCGCAUAGCUUAAAAGCAGGCGUGAGGUUACAGGCUUUCCUGAACAUGGUGGCUUUGCCCAGGCUAGGUCUCAGCCGCUCAUUAUUUUAUCCUGAUGACAGCUGAGGUUUGGGGAUUUUUUGCCUGCAGAGUUCCCUCCUGCUCUGCAUUCCCAUUCCCCUAUCCCCUCACCAUCAGGGCACACGCAGCUGUGCUGUACCCAGGACACCUCCUGCCUCUGCAGUCUCUCCCCGUCAGCAUUCCAACACCCCCACACCCACGAUGGAGAAGGCUCAGGCUGCUGGGACAGAGAGAGAGCAAAAGAGCCAUGGAUGCAGGUGCCCCAAGGUUGUCUGAGUUGCUCCAUUCCCUUCUGCCCACUGCAGAGCCUCUGGGCUUUUCUCCUUUCCCCCACCAGCACAGGUCCUACAUGUAUUCAACAGGGAGCCCAGCACCUUUGCUCUUCUACAGAAGACAUAAUUUUGUACGUUUAUAACUAAUUUCUUCAAACAUAUGCUUUCACAAUAAGGAGGUUCUUGUGUUGCCUACAUUUUAUUUGGAUUAGAGAAAAAUUUAAGCUUUGGAUUUGAUGCAACUGCUGCAGUCUUACUUCACUAUUAAUUUCCCCUCCUUCCCAGUACUGUGGGCUCCAUGCGUCUUCUCCUCUCUUCUCCUUUCCUCUCCUUUAGUAGUGAUGCAUUUAAUUAAUAGUAAAUGCACAUCGAAUUUUUUCUGGGCAACUGUACGACAGCCACAUUAACACCAGAUGAGCUCCAAACAGUUUAUUGUUAUUACAGUGAAUACUGAGUGAAUUAAGAAUGACUGAUCAGACGUUUAUUGUGACUCAACUAAAUAUAUGCAUCUUCAAUAGCAUCUUCUUUUUCAGAAGAAGAAAGAAAAAUGCUGGCAGAAGAGAA